UACGGGGGGGGCAAGCGUUGUUCGGAAUUACUGGGCGUAAAGGGCUCGUAGGCGGCCAACUAAGUCAGACGUGAAAUCCCUCGGCUUAACCGGGGAACUGCAUCUGAUACUGGAUGGCUUGAGUUCGGGAGGGGGAUGCGGAAUUCCAGGUGUAGCGGUGAAAUGCGUAGAUAUCUGGAGGAACACCGGUGGCGAAGGCGGCAUCCUGGACCGACACUGACGCUGAGGAGCGAAAGCCGGGGGAGCAAACGGG
rnacentral:rRNA from 1 species